CAACGCCGUGCAACGCACCUG
rnacentral:miRNA from 1 species